rnacentral:rRNA from 1 species
CCUACGGGGGGCAGCAGUGAGGAAUAUUGGUCAAUGGGCGCGAGCCUGAACCAGCCAAGUAGCGUGAAGGAUGACUGCCCUACGGGUUGUAAACUUCUUUUAUAAAGGAAUAAAGUGAGGCACUUGUGCCUUUUUGUAUGUACCUUAUGAAUAAGGAUCGGCUAACUCCGUGCCAGCAGCCGCGGUAAUACGGAGGAUCCGAGCGUUAUCCGGAUUUAUUGGGUUUAAAGGGAGCGUAGAUGGGUUGUUAAGUCAGUUGUGAAAGUUUGCGGCUCAACCGUAAAAUUGCAAUUGAUACUGGAAGCCUUGAGUACAGUUGAGGUAGGCGGAAUUCGUGGUGUAGCGGUGAAAUGCUUAGAUAUCACGAAGAACUCCGAUUGCGAAGGCAGCUUACUAAGCUGCCACUGACAUUGAUGCUCGAAGGUGUGGGUAUCAAACAGGAUUAGAUACCCUGGUAGUC